GAACGAAGUUGCCAGGGGAAUUUGUUUCACAUCCUGGUUGGACCAUGUGACAUAUUAUUUUGGGAAGCGGAAAAUUUUCUACGUAUAGCGGCGUGGAGAUCCGGGAAACUUUCAGUACCGGGAAACUUUCCGCCAGUGAGGGCCAGGACGGUGUAUCUAAAUAAAACUGUUCUUUGAGAGUCAGAAAUGUCUCAGAGUUGGUUUUAUGCUGGAUGCAUUUAUUGGAACUUGGCACCAUCCUUUUUUGACCUCUGCCCUAGAUAGCGAUCUGGUGUGAUCCCGUUUUUGUAGGUCCGAUUUUUUGCUUCUGGCACAUUUCUGUUCUUUUGAGAGCAGCCAUUUGACAAUGAAGGAACCGUCUUUUAGGAAAUUUUAAAAAAGCACUUACUGAGAGAUGGAAAUUGGGUAUUUUUCUUUCACUUGCUAGUUCAGAAUCGAGGGUAGGAGGGUCCAGUAAGAUUGGCAGGAGAACAUUCUCUUCUUCAGUCCAAACUUGUAGCGCCCAAAGUGUGCGUAUUCUGACAAUGCAAAAGAACCCUUGUCUUUGCUUCUGGAAAAGAUACUUCCAGUACAGGGAAUUCUCGACUUAUAACCAUUUGUUUAGUGACUGUUCAACGUAACAACAGCACUGAACAAAGAAACUUACAGCCAUUUUCCACUUAAUUGCAAGCAACCCAUAGGGUCACGUGAUCAAAAUCUGACCGCUUGCCCACCGACUCAUCUCUGUGACGGUUGCAAUGUCCCAGAGUUCAUGGGAUCACCUUUUUGUGACCUUCCUUCUGGCAAGCAAAGUCAACCUGGAAGCCAGAUUCAUUUAACAACCGUGUUGCUAAAUUAACAAGUGGCAGUGUUCACAACUUGACAGCUGGCAGCAAGAAAGGUCAUAAAACGGGGCAAAAUUCAUUUAACAACUGUCUUGCUUAGGGGUCAAUUGGGGUCAAUGCACAAUUGAAUCCAACUGAGUGGCCUGGAUUUAUCUCACAGGCUAAGACAUAUCACCAAAUCAAAGCAGACAAAAACUUUGUGUGUUGCAUAUAAAUGUACCUGUUAGUUCUUUAACUUUUAAGGAGUUUGGAUCAUCUCAUCCGCUAUUGCAAUUAUUUAUUUCAUUAUUAGGCUGCAGAUUAUUUUCUGACUAAACUGAUGACCUAAAACAAAGUUUCCUGAGUCAGUUGUAGAUCAGAUAAUCUGCUGGUAUUUACAGGUGGUGAAUGUUGUUGUUUUUUUAAUCCUAGGAUUCUAAUGGUUGUGUUUUUGAUUAUUAUUUUUUAAAUGUGAUGAAGAUUGAUUGUGAUUCCUUUGUUGUGGUGGUUGUUGUUGUUGUUGUUUAUUUUUCAGUGGGCUUAGGGGCUUUACCCCGAAAGCUCAGAAGAGAAGGAUAGAUAGAUGAGAUUUUGGAUAAAUAUUUUUUUUUUCCAGUCAUGCUUUUUAAAGUUUAUUUUGUCUUGUUAGCCUUUUGGAGAAAGGCAACUGUCAGGCACAGGCAGCAUCUACAGAGAAGGUCUGAAAAGUCACCAUGACACCCUCUAUGUUGUGAUUUUUUGCUUUCCCUCAGUUCCACCCUCCUGUGGACGUCCCUGGCAGGAACUUUAUGGGCUGCCUCUUCCUUCUUCCUUCUGUGAAGGAAGUUGAGAAGACUUUGAUCUAGAAACCUUCUCCCUAGAUCCAUGAGGGAGAACCUAUGCCACCAGUGCCGGAAGUGGCAUACAGAGCCAUCUUUCCAGGCACACCAGCUGUCCCCUGUUGCUCUUCUGGGUUCCAGCGCGCAGAUGCAUGCUGGCCAGCUGGUCUUCGUGCCGCAUGUGCGCCAGCCAGCUGGUCUUUGCAUACGCAGCAGUGCCGGAAACCGGAAAAGCAGCUCCCCAGAGUCCAUGCAAGUGCCAGCCAGCUGGUCUUUGUACAUGCAUGCAUGUUAGAAACUGGAAGACCAGGUGGCUGGCAUGUAUAUGCAUGCGCACUCCCGUUUUGGCACUCAUUGCCGAAAAGGUUAGCCACCACUGCGUUAGAUUUUUGUAGUUGUACCCAAGGAGAAUUUUCAUGCAUAGAAAAAGGCCUUUGUAUGCUGAAAUACCAUUCUCGGCAAAGUGAUUUUGACUUUUGUGUUACCUUCCCACCGAAGUGAUACCUAUUUAUCUACUCGCGCUUGCCUGCUUUCAGACUGCUAGAUGGGCAAGCGCUGAGGCAAGAAACGGAAGUUCACCCCGUCUCGUAUCACUCAAGUCUCGAAGCUUUCAAGCUGACAAGUUCAGCAUCUUUAACCACAGAGCCCUUGCUGUAACAUUUCACAUCAUGUCCUAUUGUAAAUACUGGCCAAUUUAGUGGGUAUGAAUUAUCUAGAGCUAUGCGAAUCGGAUUACUCUUUCGGUAAUUAUGCUUCACCAUGCAAAUAAAAUCUUCUCCUACUUUCCUUUCCCCCCCCCAUAAGAUCACCCUUUCUGUGACCUACUGUAAACCAUGUUUGUUUGUUUUUAAAGCCACAAUAGGCAAGGUUUCUAUGACACUGAAGCAACACCAACCAUCCACAAUAGGAUACGUGAAUCCCAAAUUUUUUGCUUUGAAACCAUUUUGAAAAUGUACUUUUGGCCAAAUAAUUUUCUCACCCAUUUUUCACCCUUGUUUUAUCUUUCACUUUAAUAUGCAAAAUCAAUUGCCUCUCCAAAAGAGAUCUGGUGAACUCUGGACUGGGGAAAAAGAGCCAAAUUGGUAAUAAUAUAUUAAUGCUGGAUGAAGGAAUAUCCCAAUAUGCUUGAAUAGCUGGUAUUUACAUUAGAAGGAUGAAAGAGAACUUUGAAAUAAGAUACACAGGACUCAAAUCACCUGAAGACAGUUUUCGGGGGGAGAAAAAUGGUCAAGAGAUUGCCAUUGGUUUAUAAAUACGAAAUAUAAA